UACAAUUGUCAAUAUAAGUCUUCUAUACACUCAAGAAUUUUCAGCCCAAUCCAAUUUACAGAUUGUGAGAAAACCUCCAAAAAUUGUAGUGAUGUCACUCGGAUGCCAACUUGAAAAGUGAAGCAAAAAUCCCAGCCGUGAUUUCUCCUUUUUUAAUUGUUAACUUUGACUCAAAAUUGGUGUGCAACUUGAUCUUUAAGUCCUUCAAUACCAUGCCAAAUUUUAUCUUGAUCUAAUUAGCAGAUCUCCAGAUAUCAUAGAAAUCCUAUCCAACCCCAAACUGCUAGCUUUUGAAACCCUCUUGUACUAAAAAUCAGAUAUCUCUAAACUACACUAUUAGAUUAUUAAAAAAAAUUAUAUACACUUAGCACACCUAAUAAUCCAAAUAGUAUGAAUUUUUGAACUCUAGAUGUUAUAUCAAUUGUACAAAUUAGCCAAAAUUGCUAGUCCUAAUUAUAUUAUAUAAAACCCAAAUCACCAAUACAAACCUUGAUCUUGAACAACAAUUGCUAAGUCUUCAAAAAUCCUACCAAAAUAAUCCUUAUGCCUUUAAAAAGAGCUUCAAGCUAGCUCUCAAAUUCUAAUCUCUAAUCUUCAAAUGAAUUCCUAAUUUGUCCUAAGAAGUCAUUUUAGUGACGAGAGGUCUCAUUUCAACCCUGUCUCA
rnacentral:lncRNA from 1 species